rnacentral:rRNA from 1 species
CAACAGGGAUUGCCCUAGUAACGGCGAGUGAAGCGGCAACAGCUCAAAUUUGAAAUCUGGCCCUCGGGUCCGAGUUGUAAUUUGUAGAGGAUGCUUUUGGUGCGGUGCCUUCCGAGUUCCCUGGAACGGGACGCCAUAGAGGGUGAGAGCCCCGUCUGGUUGGACGCCAAUCCUAUGUAAAGCUCCUUCGACGAGUCGAGUAGUUUGGGAAUGCUGCUCUAAAUGGGAGGUAUAUGUCUUCUAAAGCUAAAUAUUGGCCAGAGACCGAUAGCGCACAAGUAGAGUGAUCGAAAGAUGAAAAGCACUUUGAAAAGAGAGUUAAAAAGCACGUGAAAUUGUUGAAAGGGAAGCGCUUAUGACCAGACUUGGGCUUGGUUGAUCAUCCGGCGUUCUCGCCGGUGCACUCUUCCGGUCCAGGCCAGCAUCAGUUUGCUUCGGGGGAUAAAGGCUUUGGGAAUGUGGCUCCCUCGGGAGUGUUAUAGCCCAUUGUGUAAUACCCUGGAGCGGACUGAGGUACGCGUUCUGCAAGGAUGCUGGCGUAAUGGUCAUCAGUGACCCGUCUUGAAACACGGACCAAGGAGUCGUCUUCGUAUGCGAGUGUUCGGGUGUCAAACCCCUACGCGUAAUGAAAGUGAACGCAGGUGAGAGCUUCGGCGCAUCAUCGACCGAUCCUGAUGUUCUCGGAUGGAUUUGAGUAAGAGCAUACGGGGCCGGACCCGAAAGAAGGUGAACUAUGCCUGUGUAGGGUGAAGCCAGAGGAAACUCUGGUGGAGGCUCGCAGCGGUUCUGACGUGCAAAUCGAUCGUCAAACAUGGGCAUGGGGGCGAAAGACUAAUCGA